UAUCACCUCUACUAUUUGACAUUGUUAUUAGAAAUGCUAGCAGUAGCAAUUAGAGAAGAAAAAGAAUACUUAGUUUAUGUAGUCAGUGACAAAAUCUUUUCUCUACCUUCACCUCUCUUCCUCUCUCAAAGUCAAAUGUCCCCCAUCUUUCUUUCCUAGGCUGAAUGGAUAAUCCCACACAGUUGAGUAAAAGAGAUUCUUACUCAAGGAAUAUGCUAUUAAUUCCUAACUAGGUAAGAUGUUCUCCAUCAGGAAUGAAGAAAAGAUAUCACAAUUUAUAGUUAUUGCAUAUAAAUAUGGAUUUGGAGACACAGACCCUUUUCAAGCUUGAAAGCAACAAGUCUUUAACUUACCUGAGAGCACUGCCUAGAGUUGACUUCUGGAAGCCAAGAACUGCAGGAGGAGCCACACAGAGAGCAACACCUGAGAACAGGCAAAAGGAUUUCAAUUUAUUUUCCAAAGAUUCAUGUUGAAUUGAAACGAAGAUAAUAUGGAGCAUCAACACAGACAACUGACCUACUGGCUACCUCAAGCACUUUAACUAACUGGAAGGUUUGAGGGAUGGGGGAAGCCUGCAGUUCUGAGAGAUCAGUCCCAGCAUUGCCAUUUUUUACCCCUGGCAGCAUUGAAGAGAUCCCUAUCUCAGAAUUUCUGGAGAAUCCAAAAUUUCUGUGCCCCUGAAGUCAGUUAUCAUUUCAUAAGGGCUUGAAGGGUUUUGUCAGUCAAUAAUAAACUCAGAACAUUUUUUUCA
rnacentral:lncRNA from 1 species